AAUGGAUAAAUAACAAAGCUUAGAUUUGUGUUAGACUGUUAGUCUUUUAACAGUGUUAUAGAAUAAAGAAAUAAAAGAGAGUACAAACCUGUUUUAACAUGGAAGAGGAUUAAAUAAUGACUUAUUUAUGAAAAAGCCGAAGGACAGACGAUAACGUGACGUACUGUACAAGUUUACGCAAAUGACGUAGAACCCGGAAGUAAACGUUCGCCUCAUCAGCUGACAGCACAUCCAGCGUGUGAGCAACAAACAAACAAACAAACAUGAUUUACAGUAAUAAUCACUUACAUGUUCAAAUAAUGGCGCAGAAAAUCGGCGAAGCUCACGAGCACAUCGCCAGGGCGGAGAAAUAGAUGAGUUUUAUGAAGUGGAAGUCUGAUUAUGACAGUGCAGCCUUCAGAAUAUGCCAUAGCAGCGGCUGCCUUUAAAAGUAGCUGGAACUGGCAAAGAGGUGUGUCUACAGGAGGCCGUAGUGCACGCAAAGAACACGGCUGCUUUUAAAAGUAGCUGGAACAGGCAGAGAGUUGUACCUACAGGAGGCCGUAGUGCACGCAAACAACAUUUCGUAUGUUUCCUUGACUCAUCAUCCAGACUUUUUCAUGGCGCAAAAAAGCAGCGAAGCUCAUUGGCAAAGCAUCAAGAGUUGUCGCUAAUGAACUGAAGAUGAACUCAGCAGAGCAGCAGCCUGCUGGACCACAUCAAAAGCUGGAAACUUCUUUGGGAUGCCAUUUCGUUUCAAGCUCUACGACUGAUGAACUCUUCAUUUCAGAGUACGCAAAACUGCCCAUCAGCCUUAAACAGCCUGAAGGAAGAGAAGCAAAAACACCCCCGCACACCCAGCACUUCUGCAUCUGCUCAGACGGUGGACAAGGACCAAGAGGACCAGUCUGCUGGAGACCUCUCUUAAAAACACACACACGCGCACACCUCGCUCCACUGUUCUCCUCUGAUCACUGCUCCUGCGUUCAAACACACAAAUAAAAAGUUCCUCUUCCAAAAUCAUCUAUGCUACAUCGUCCUCUCUCAACUGUCUAUAUUGAUUCAGGUUUGCCUUUAAACUAAUCAUCUAAUAUUCAGUUGUUUCUAUGCUUGGCCAAAACCAAACCUGUCAAACGGACCUUCUCGCCGACACUUCAACACUGCGCAUCGCUUUAAUUCACAUCACUAUAAGCACACGCUUCAAACUAAUGCAUAUCACUGCUGAGCGCUGUCAAAACUGCCUGCCUACUCAAAGCACUGAAUAUACAACUUGGAACGGUUCAAUUACCCUAAUAUAACUUCAAUUCUUUUCUUGCCAUCAUUUCAAUCAUGACAAACAAACACACUAACCUGUCUACUUUCUUUUUUUAAAGCAACUAAUUCCUUUUACUGCUGUACUACUACUACUACUACUACUACUACUACUACUACUACUACUACAGCAUUUCUUCCUCAAUUGUGUUCAUUUAAUCUUCCUUUGUGCAAUUCAUUAACAACGCACCGUCACUUUACAUCAACUAAAAUAUUGAUUGUGUACACGCAUAUACAUACUGUAUACACACACACACACACACACACACACACACACACACAUAACUAAUAUACAGUUGAAGUCAGAAUUACCAAUUAUUGACUUUUAUUUUUAUUUGACAUUUUUUUAACAAUUUCCUCAAACAAUGUUUAAUACAACCAAGACAUUUUCACAGUGUCUCAUUUUAUUUAGUUUUUUUUUUCUGUAAAAACUGUAAUUUCUUUUCUUUUGCCUAGGAUAAAACCUCCUUAAUGUUUUUUUUUUUUUUUUUUUAACCUUUUACAGUCCAAAUUAUUAACCCCUUUCAGCUAUAUAUUUCUUUGAAAGCCUUCAAAGCAAACCAUCGUUAUACAAUAACUUGCCUAAUGAACCCAGUAAAGCCUUUAAAUGCCACUUUAAGCUCUAUAGAAGCCUCUUCAAUAAGAUCUAGUCAAUUAUUUACUGUCAUCAUGACAAAGAGAAAAUUAGGGAUGACUUAUUAAAACUGUUACGCUUACAAAUGUGUCAAACACAAAUUGAGUAACAAAAUACACAACUAGGAGGACUAAUAAUUCACACUUCAACUGUAUAUGUGUGUGUAUGUAUAUAUAUAUAUAUAUACACACACAAAUAAAUGCACAUCACACACACACACACACACACACACACACACAACCAUAUGCAUAUACAAUCACAAGCUUACACCCAUACAUAUGCAAUCAUUUAUUCGUACAUACACAAACACUCAUACACACGUACUGUAGCGAGCACACUGAUGCCACGUCGCCCUUGUCACAAAUUCACCCCAGCUGGAACCUCAUCAGCACCGGAUCGCUCACAGCUGGACCUCAUCAGCACCGGAUCGCUCACAGCUGGACCUCAUCAGCCAGGGAGAGAUAUAAGCCAGCCCAGGAGGGACACGAGCUUCAUUUACACACGACUCCCUGCGCUAACGCUUAUGUCUCUCCUACAGCAGAGUCCAGCUUGUGAACGAUCCAGCACCAGACCUCUUACCAUCCUUCACCACCUCCCCGGAGCACUCGAGCACGCACCUCAUGAAGAGCACCAUUUAUUCACGUAUUUCACUUGUAAAUAAAGCACCCUCCGGCGACUUGUUUGUAACUCAA